rnacentral:rRNA from 1 species
CCUACGGGAGGCAGCAGUAAGGAAUAUUGGUCAAUGGGGGCAACCCUGAACCAGCCAUGCCGCGUGCAGGAAGACGGCCCUACGGGUUGUAAACUGCUUUUAUACGGGAAUAAACCUCUCUUCGUGAAGAGAGCUGAAUGUACUGUAAGAAUAAGGAUCGGCUAACUCCGUGCCAGCAGCCGCGGUAAUACGGAGGAUCCAAGCGUUAUCCGGAUUUAUUGGGUUUAAAGGGUGCGUAGGCGGCCUAUUAAGUCAGGGGUGAAAGACGGUGGCUCAACCAUCGCAGUGCCCUUGAUACUGAUGGGCUUGAUUACACUUGAGGUAGGCGGAAUGUGACAAGUAGCGGUGAAAUGCAUAGAUAUGUCACAGAACACCAAUUGCGAAGGCAGCUUACUAAGGUGUUAAUGACGCUGAGGCACGAAAGCGUGGGGAUCAAACAGGAUUAGAUACCCUGGUAGUCCACGCCCUAAACGAUGAAUACUCGAUGUUAGCGAUAUACAGUUAGCGUCAAAGCGAAAGCGUCAAGUAUUCCACCUGGGGAGUACGCCCGCAGGGUGAACUCAAAGGAUUGACGGCUGAGAGNGCGAGACGACGACGAGGGAGGAGG